rnacentral:rRNA from 1 species
GAGGCGCCCAAAGGUUCCCUCAGCCUGGUUGGCAAUCAGGUGUCGAGUGUAAGUGCACAAGGGAGCUUGACUGUGAGAGCGACAGCUCGAGCAGGGACGAAAGUCGGGACUAGUGAUCCGGCGGUACAUUGUGGAAUGGCCGUCGCUCAACGGAUAAAAGGUACCUCGGGGAUAACAGGCUGAUCUUGCCCAAGAGUCCAUAUCGACGGCAUGGUUUGGCACCUCGAUGUCGGCUCGUCGCAUCCUGGGGCUGGAGUUGGUCCCAAGGGUUGGGCUGUUCGCCCAUUAAAGCGGUACGCGAGCUGGGUUCAGAACGUCGUGAGACAGUUCGGUCCCUAUCCGCUGCGCGCGCAGGAAAUUUGAGAAGACCUGUCCUUAGUACGAGAGGACCGGGACGGACGAACCUCUGGUAUGGCAGUUGUACCGCCAGGUGCACCGCUGCUUCGCUACGUUCGGAAGAGAUAACCGCUGAAAGCAUCUAAGCGGGAAGCUCGCUUCGAGAUGAGAUUUCCAGACCCGCAAGGGUGAGAGGCCCCCAGCGAGACCACUGGGUUGAUAGGCCGGAGGUGGAAGCACGAACCAACGACGUGUGCAGCCGACCGGUACUAAUACGCCGACAACUUACCCCACACCCCA